GGGUUGUGAGGUUAAGCGACUAAGCGUACACGGUGGAUGCCUUGGCAGUCAGAGGCGAUGAAGGACGUGCUAAUCUGCGAUAAGCGUCGGUAAGGUGAUAUGAACCGUUAUAACCGGCGAUUUCCGAAUGGGGAAACCCAGUGUGAUUCGUCACACUAUCAUUAACUGAAUCCAUAGGUUAAUGAGGCGAACCGGGGGAACUGAAACAUCUAAGUACCCCGAGGAAAAGAAAUCAACCGAGAUUCCCCCAGUAGCGGCGAGCGAACGGGGAGCAGCCCAGAGCCUGAAUCAGUGUGUGUGUUAGUGGAAGCGUCUGGAAAGGCGUGCGAUACAGGGUGACAGCCCCGUACACAAAAAUGCACAUACUGUGAGCUCGAUGAGUAGGGCGGGACACGUGGUAUCCUGUCUGAAUAUGGGGGGACCAUCCUCCAAGGCUAAAUACUCCUGACUGACCGAUAGUGAACCAGUACCGUGAGGGAAAGGCGAAAAGAACCCCGGCGAGGGGAGUGAAAAAGAACCUGAAACCGUGUACGUACAAGCAGUGGGAGCACGCUUAGGCGUGUGACUGCGUACCUUUUGUAUAAUGGGUCAGCGACUUAUAUUCUGUAGCAAGGUUAACCGAAUAGGGGAGCCGAAGGGAAACCGAGUCUUAACUGGGCGUUAAGUUGCAGGGUAUAGACCCGAAACCCGGUGAUCUAGCCAUGGGCAGGUUGAAGGUUGGGUAACACUAACUGGAGGACCGAACCGACUAAUGUUGAAAAAUUAGCGGAUGACUUGUGGCUGGGGGUGAAAGGCCAAUCAAACCGGGAGAUAGCUGGUUCUCCCCGAAAGCUAUUUAGGUAGCGCCUCGUGAAUUCAUCUCCGGGGGUAGAGCACUGUUUCGGCAAGGGGGUCAUCCCGACUUACCAACCCGAUGCAAACUGCGAAUACCGGAGAAUGUUAUUACGGGAGACACACGGCGGGUGCUAACGUCCGUCGUGAAGAGGGAAACAACCCAGACCGCCAGCUAAGGUCCCAAAGUCAUGGUUAAGUGGGAAACGAUGUGGGAAGGCCCAGACAGCCAGGAUGUUGGCUUAGAAGCAGCCAUCAUUUAAAGAAAGCGUAAUAGCUCACUGGUCGAGUCGGCCUGCGCGGAAGAUGUAACGGGGCUAAACCAUGCACCGAAGCUGCGGCAGCGACGCUUAUGCGUUGUUGGGUAGGGGAGCGUUCUGUAAGCCUGUGAAGGUGUGCUGUGAGGUAUGCUGGAGGUAUCAGAAGUGCGAAUGCUGACAUAAGUAACGAUAAAGCGGGUGAAAAGCCCGCUCGCCGGAAGACCAAGGGUUCCUGUCCAACGUUAAUCGGGGCAGGGUGAGUCGACCCCUAAGGCGAGGCCGAAAGGCGUAGUCGAUGGGAAACAGGUUAAUAUUCCUGUACUUGGUGUUACUGCGAAGGGGGGACGGAGAAGGCUAUGUUGGCCGGGCGACGGUUGUCCCGGUUUAAGCGUGUAGGCUGGUUUUCCAGGCAAAUCCGGAAAAUCAAGGCCGAGGCGUGAUGACGAGGCACUACGGUGCUGAAGCAACAAAUGCCCUGCUUCCAGGAAAAGCCUCUAAGCAUCAGGUAACAUCAAAUCGUACCCCAAACCGACACAGGUGGUCAGGUAGAGAAUACCAAGGCGCUUGAGAGAACUCGGGUGAAGGAACUAGGCAAAAUGGUGCCGUAACUUCGGGAGAAGGCACGCUGAUACGUAGGUGAAGCGACUUGCUCGUGGAGCUGAAAUCAGUCGAAGAUACCAGCUGGCUGCAACUGUUUAUUAAAAACACAGCACUGUGCAAACACGAAAGUGGACGUAUACGGUGUGACGCCUGCCCGGUGCCGGAAGGUUAAUUGAUGGGGUUAGCGCAAGCGAAGCUCUUGAUCGAAGCCCCGGUAAACGGCGGCCGUAACUAUAACGGUCCUAAGGUAGCGAAAUUCCUUGUCGGGUAAGUUCCGACCUGCACGAAUGGCGUAAUGAUGGCCAGGCUGUCUCCACCCGAGACUCAGUGAAAUUGAACUCGCUGUGAAGAUGCAGUGUACCCGCGGCAAGACGGAAAGACCCCGUGAACCUUUACUAUAGCUUGACACUGAACAUUGAGCCUUGAUGUGUAGGAUAGGUGGGAGGCUUUGAAGUGUGGACGCCAGUCUGCAUGGAGCCGACCUUGAAAUACCACCCUUUAAUGUUUGAUGUUCUAACGUGGACCCGUGAUCCGGGUUGCGGACAGUGUCUGGUGGGUAGUUUGACUGGGGCGGUCUCCUCCUAAAGAGUAACGGAGGAGCACGAAGGUUGGCUAAUCCUGGUCGGACAUCAGGAGGUUAGUGCAAUGGCAUAAGCCAGCUUGACUGCGAGCGUGACGGCGCGAGCAGGUGCGAAAGCAGGUCAUAGUGAUCCGGUGGUUCUGAAUGGAAGGGCCAUCGCUCAACGGAUAAAAGGUACUCCGGGGAUAACAGGCUGAUACCGCCCAAGAGUUCAUAUCGACGGCGGUGUUUGGCACCUCGAUGUCGGCUCAUCACAUCCUGGGGCUGAAGUAGGUCCCAAGGGUAUGGCUGUUCGCCAUUUAAAGUGGUACGCGAGCUGGGUUUAGAACGUCGUGAGACAGUUCGGUCCCUAUCUGCCGUGGGCGCUGGAGAACUGAGGGGGGCUGCUCCUAGUACGAGAGGACCGGAGUGGACGCAUCACUGGUGUUCGGGUUGUCAUGCCAAUGGCACUGCCCGGUAGCUAAAUGCGGAAGAGAUAAGUGCUGAAAGCAUCUAAGCACGAAACUUGCCCCGAGAUGAGUUCUCCCUGACCCUUUAAGGGUCCUGAAGGAACGUUGAAGACGACGACGUUGAUAGGCCGGGUGUGUAAGCGCAGCGAUGCGUUGAGCUAACCGGUACUAAUGAACCGUGAGGCUUAACCUUACAACGCCGAAG
rnacentral:rRNA from 1 species